GAUGAACGCUGGCGGCGUGCCUAAUACAUGCAAGUCGAGCGAACAGACGAGGAGCUUGCUCCUCUGACGUUAGCGGCGGACGGGUGAGUAACACGUGGAUAACCUACCUAUAAGACUGGGAUAACUUCGGGAAACCGGAGCUAAUACCGGAUAAUAUAUUGAACCGCAUGGUUCAAUAGUGAAAGACGGUUUUGCUGUCACUUAUAGAUGGAUCCGCGCCGCAUUAGCUAGUUGGUAAGGUAACGGCUUACCAAGGCGACGAUGCGUAGCCGACCUGAGAGGGUGAUCGGCCACACUGGAACUGAGACACGGUCCAGACUUCUACGGGAGGCAGCAGUAGGGAAUCUUCCGCAAUGGGCGAAAGCCUGACGGAGCAACGCCGCGUGAGUGAUGAAGGUCUUCGGAUCGUAAAACUCUGUUAUUAGGGAAGAACAAAUGUGUAAGUAACUAUGCACGUCUUGACGGUACCUAAUCAAAAAGCCACGGCUAACUACGUG
rnacentral:rRNA from 1 species